UUUCACUGUGACUUCACAGAAAGCCCUGCCCAGAAUCCCAGAAAGCAGUGAGGCACAAAGUCACACCAUGGACAAGUCACUUAAGCUCUCUGGACUUGUUUUUCUCCUCUGCCAAAUGAGAACCUAGCAAGCUCUGCUAUUGAGGUAGCCGCAGAACUGCUAAAGUGAGGUCCAGACUAUACAGUAUCAGCUAAAUGCUUGAAAUGCAGCAGUGAACAAGAUUAGCAUGGCACCUUCCCUGAUGGAAAUGAUCAUCUAGCAGGAAAGAUGGAUGUUAAGCAGGCAAACAGAUAAGCUUUCUGGAAGAGGCUGGCUUUUUGAGGAUCUGAGAAAGUGUUGGGUACUCCCUCAAUAUUGGCAUCAGGCCUUCAGAAAGCCCAGCCUUCCCUGGAUUUGAGGAUGAACGCGCCUGAGGUUCCAACAGGAAAUUCUGCCACCUGCAACAUUCCCUGAGCGUCUAGAUGACACAGAAGCCCAGCACGGUCUGAUGUUCUAGACUUGCGCUGGCCAAUACGGUA